rnacentral:tRNA from 1 species
AAGGGUAGAGCUCAGUGGUAGAGUGAAUGCCUAGCAUGCAUUAGGUCCUGGGUUCAAUCCCCAGCACCUCCA